rnacentral:rRNA from 1 species
AGGGUUUGAUUAUGGCUCAGGACGAACGCUGGCGGCGUGCUUAACACAUGCAAGUCGAACGGUUCUCGAAGUUCGAGGUUGGAUGUUCGAAGUUCGAAAGAGCAGGAAUUCGCAAAGCGAAUUCCAACAAACAUCGAAUUCACGAAUGUCGAACCUCGAACUUCGAGGAUAGUGGCGGACGGGUGAGUAACGCGUGGAUAACCUGCCUGACAGCCUGGGAUAACGCCGGGAAACUGGUGCUAAUACCGGAUACGAUCCUUGAACUGCAUAGUUUGAGGAAGAAAGGGGAAACCCGCUGACAGAUGGGUCCGCGUCCCAUUAGCUAGUUGGAGGGGUAACGGCCCACCAAGGCGACGAUGGGUAGCCGGCCUGAGAGGGCGACCGGCCACACUGGAACUGAGACACGGUCCAGACUCCUACGGGAGGCAGCAGUGGGGAAUCUUCCGCAAUGGGCGCAAGCCUGACGGAGCAACGCCGCGUGAGUGAAGAAGGUUUUCGGAUUGUAAAACUCUGUCCAGGGGGAAGAAACAAAUGACGGUACCCCUGGAGGAAGCCCCGGCUAACUACGUGCCAGCAGCCGCGGUAAAACGUAGGGGGCGAGCGUUGUCCGGAAUUACUGNGCGUAAAGGGCGUGUAGGCGGCAUGGCAAGUCCAUAGUGAAACCCGACGGCUCAACCGUCGGCUUGCUAAGGAAACUGCUAAGCUUGAGUGCAGGAGAGGGGAGUGGAAUUCCCAGUGUAGCGGUGAAAUGCGUAGAUAUUGGGAGGAACACCAGUGGCGAAAGCAGCUCCCUGGCCUGUAACUGACGCUGAGGCGCGAAAGCGUGGGUAGCAAACAGGAUUAGAUACCCUGG